rnacentral:tRNA from 1 species
AUGGUUGGGUUGGGAUAGCUCAGUUGGUAGAGCAGAGGACUGAAAAUC